UCGAAAUCGGUAGACGCUACGGACUUAAAAUCCGUUGGCUUUUUAGACCGUGAGGGGUCAAGUCCCUCUACCCCCA
rnacentral:tRNA from 1 species